AGAACCAUCAGGGCGCCCUGCGCUGCUGAGGUCGGUGCUGUGGAGAUCCCUCCACUUCCUGGUUUACGGGCUGCUACAUGACAGCGCCGACAGCCCCAGCCAUUAGAAGAUUAGCCGGAUCGUUCACUGGCGUGCCAGGAUGGAUCAGGAAUAAAAUGAUUCCAGACACUCUAUAGAAAUCUAGGAGGUGGUGACAGAAUGCAGCAAGGAUGACGUCUUCUCUCUGAGGCAUCCUGCCCCCUGUCGUCUGAAAUGGAUGGCUCUACUGAAUCAGUCUUAAUCCACUGAGUGACAAACUCACAGGCACUACAUUGACACCUGCCGGUCCAUUUAUACAGGCCAGGGGUAAAACAUCACUUGAUGAAGUCAAACAGACUGACUUCUAAGAGAUGCCCAAAGAAAGCUCAUAAAUAUGAUGGAAUGAAGUUUAAAAAAUGGACGGUGCAGAUGGACAGACGUACUGAUGGAUGAAGGACCUGAGCCCUAGGACCAUGCCCCAGGACUACCUGACAUGAUGACUCCUUGCUGUCCCCAGUCCACCUGGCCAUGCUGCUGCUCCAGUUUCAACUGACCUGAGCCCUCGGACCAUGCCCCAGGACUACCUGACAUGAUGAC